UGCGUAGGGUGCAAGCGUUAAUCGGAAUUACUGGGCGUAAAGCGUGCGCAGGCGGUUAUAUAAGACAGUUGUGAAAUCCCCGGGCUCAACCUGGGAACUGCAUCUGUGACUGUAUAGCUAGAGUACGGUAGAGGGGGAUGGAAUUCCGCGUAUAGCAGUGAAAUGCGUAGAUAUGCGGAGGAACACCGAUGGCGAAGGCAAUCCCCUGGACCUGUACUGACGCUCAUGCACGAAAGCGUGGGGAGCAAACAGG
rnacentral:rRNA from 1 species